GAUGAACGCUGGCGGCGUGCCUAAUACAUGCAAGUCGAGCGAACGGACGAGACGCUUGCUUCUCUGAUGUUAGGGGCGGACGGGUGAGUAACACGUGGAUAACCUACCUAUAAGACUGGGAUAACUUCGGGAAACCGGAUCUAAUACCGGAUGAUAUUUUGAACCGCAUGGUUCAAAAGUGAAAGACGGUCUUGCUGUCACUUAUAGAUGGAUCCGCGCUGCAUUAGCUAGUUGGUAAGGUAACGGCUUACCAAGGCAACGAUGCAUAGCCGACCUGAGAGGGUGAUCGGCCACACUGGAACUGAGACACGGUCCAGACUCCUACGGGAGGCAGCAGUAGGGAAUCUUCCGCAAUGGGCGAAAGCCUGACGGAGCAACGCCGCGUGAGUGAUGAAGGUCUUCGGAUCGUAAAGCUCUGUUAUUAGGGAAGAACAGAUGUGUAAGUAACUGUGGACAUCUUGACGGUACCUAAUCAGAAAGCCCCGGCUAACUACGUG
rnacentral:rRNA from 1 species